CCUACGGGAGGCUGCAGUGAGGAAUAUUGGUCAAUGGCCGAGAGGCUGAACCAGUCAAGUCGCGUGAGGGAAGACGGCCCUACGGGUUGUAAACCUCUUUUGCCGGGGAGCAAAGCGAACCACGUGUGGUUCAUUGAGAGUACCCGAAGAAAAAGCAUAGGCUAACUCCGUGCCAGCAGCCGCGGUAAUACGGAGGAUGCGAGCGUUAUCCGGAUUUAUUGGGGUUAAAGGGUGCGCAGGCGGAGGUGCAAGUCAGCGGUCAAAUUGCGGGGCUCAACCCCGUACUGCCGUUGAAACUGCAUCCCUUGAGUGCGCGAGAAGUAAGCGGAAUGCGUGGUGUAACGGUGAAAUGCAUAGAUAUCACGCAGAACUCCGGUGGCGAAGGCAGCAUACCGGCGCGCAACUGACGCUCAUGCACGAAAGCGUGGGUAUCGAACAGGAUUAGAUACCCUGGUAGUC
rnacentral:rRNA from 1 species